CUGUCCUUUUCUCCUUACGAUUUUGUAUUUGGAUGCCCUCGACACCGGUGAUAUUGUAGAUCAAACUGCAAAAGUAAGAGCUUCUGUUUGGACACGAAGCUUGGUUACCAGAAUCACUACAAUGGACAAGGUAUCCAGCACUGAAUUCGGGAAGUUACAUCUCAAAGCUAAGUACCAAAUGAACUCCCCCAACAUGCUCAUACAACCAGAAAGGAUUGAUGAGUUUGUCAACUCCAACAUGCCCGCUGAAUCAGUCACCAUGGAUAGGAACACCUUCAAGCAAGCCAUCAGCGAGUUCAGCUUGGCCAUCAAUGAAGCAGUGGUAAAUCUUACCUUCAAACUGUCUCAAG